AUGCUUCCUUUUGGACUCACAUCUGGUUCCCUUUCCUGCACCCUUAACUUAUGGCUCUGCCUCCACGGCAUCACUGAGUGAGGCCCGCCCUUGCUCAGGAUGGCUCAGAGCAGCACGGUUCUGUUUGCUUUGGUAGCUCCUGAAGUGUUUUGAGCUCUGCACGGACAGCGUGUAGCGGAUGCGGAAAGCCUGUGCUGAGUGCUUCCUGGCUGUGGCCCACGACAUGUCCCCUGAGGUCUGCAGGGCCAGACUCUGGCCCCUUUUCAUCACACUGAUCAGUGACCCCUGCCGAUGGGUGCUCCAGGCUGCCUUCCAGUCCCUGGGCCCCUUCAUCUCCACCUUUGCCAACCCCUCCAGGGCUGGCCUUUAUAUUCAGGAAGAUGGUACUUUCAACAUCUGACCACUGGCUCUGGGUUUGGACUCGGACAUCAGCCUGGGCUACCGGAUGCAGGCGGCUGUGGGGACUCAGCCUCCGCCUGAUGACGGGUACACCCUAAGCAGAUCAUUCGAGAUGGUUCACUAGCAUCUCUCCAGUGUUAAUGUUACUCAGCAGUGUGAGAGGAGCUCAAGUUCAGGGAUUAUCAGCUACACGGAGAGCUGCCCAGCUUAACUCUGUGAACAAGGUCCAGCACCAGCCAAGAGAAGGGCCAAGUGAAGUGUCCGUGCCAGGUCCCAUCCCUGCCCCUGACAGCCAGGGCCCCCGGCUGACCCCACCACGGUGGGGCGAGCUCUCCGCAGCCAGGAUAUUAGCAAGCAUGGUUGUGGCAAUUCUGCAGAAGUUCUGUUCAAACAGUGAAAGUGCACCGGGGUUCAGUUUAAUCAUGAACUCAUCCUACGGUUCCGGCACUGUUCUAAGUGGGUCGGAAGGCAAACAUUUGCUUUCAUUUGUCAGGUUAGCAGGGGCCCCAGGGGAGCAUCCAGCACGAGCAUACGUUUCCUGUGUGACGUCAACGCACAGCACCAGGCAAAGGAUCCCAGCCCUGGAGGACUAG
rnacentral:lncRNA from 1 species